rnacentral:rRNA from 1 species
AGAGUUUGAUCCUGGCUCAGGACGAACGCUGGCGGCGUGCUUAACACAUGCAAGUCGAGCGGUAAGGCCCUUCGGGGUACACGAGCGGCGAACGGGUGAGUAACACGUGGGUAACCUGCCCUGUACUCUGGGAUAAGCCUGGGAAACUAGGUCUAAUACCGGAUAUGACCUGCCUCCGCAUGGUGGUGGGUGGAAAGUUCCGGCGGUACAGGAUGGACCCGCGGCCUAUCAGCUUGUUGGUGGGGUAAUGGCCUACCAAGGCGACGACGGGUAGCCGGCCUGAGAGGGUGACCGGCCACACUGGGACUGAGACACGGCCCAGACUCCUACGGGAGGCAGCAGUGGGGAAUAUUGCACAAUGGGCGAAAGCCUGAUGCAGCGACGCCGCGUGAGGGAUGACGGCCUUCGGGUUGUAAACCUCUUUCAGCGGGGACGAAGGGCAACUGACGGUACCCGCAGAAGAAGCACCGGCUAACUACGUGCCAGCAGCCGCGGUAAUACGUAGGGUGCGAGCGUUGUCCGGAAUUAUUGGGCGUAAAGAGCUCGUAGGCGGUUUGUUGCGUCGGCUGUGAAAACUUCACGCUUAACGUGGAGCCUGCAGUCGAUACGGGCAGACUUGAGUUCGGCAGGGGAGACUGGAAUUCCUGGUGUAGCGGUGAAAUGCGCAGAUAUCAGGAGGAACACCGGUGGCGAAGGCGGGUCUCUGGGCCGAUACUGACGCUGAGGAGCGAAAGCGUGGGGAGCGAACAGGAUUAGAUACCCUAGUAGUCC